CUAGGCCUACGGGAGGCAGCAGUGAGGAAUAUUGGUCAAUGGGCGAGAGCCUGAACCAGCCAAGUCGCGUGAAGGAUGACGGCCCUACGGGUUGUAAACUUCUUUUGUCAGGGAGCAAUUGAGUCCACGUGUGGGCUUAGCGAGAGUACCUGAAGAAAAAGCAUCGGCUAACUCCGUGCCAGCAGCCGCGGUAAUACGGAGGAUGCGAGCGUUAUCCGGAUUUAUUGGGUUUAAAGGGUGCGUAGGCGGAAUAUCAAGCCAGCGGUAAAAAUUCGGGGCUCAACCCCGU
rnacentral:rRNA from 1 species